CCCGAAAAAAAGUGAGCUAUUUUUUAUCUUAAAGGUUACUGUAGCAAAAGUAUCUUGAGAAUAAAAAAUAGGGAUUAUAGGUCUGUCGUACUUUUUGAUAGCUGGUUAAUUGAGAAAAGCAUGUAGGUGCUUUUGUGCUUUGUAUGUGUAAAUUUUAAUAUAUAAAUAUUAAAGUUAAUUAGAAUAUAUAUAUUAAUGGAGAAAAUAAUGAAAAUAAUAUUGUCAGACAAUAUAAUUUUUACAUUUAUUGAACCUUUAUUAAUAAAAAGCACAAUAUAUAUAUGAGGGGUAAGCUCUUAUAUUUUAUUAAAAUAUUAUAAUUAUAAUUAUUAAUUAAUUAAGUUGGCUUAGAGUUAGCUAUCUUUUAUAGAGUUUUUAAAAAAGUAAUUAAUGUAAUCAAUUAUUAGAUUUUAAUGAAUUUGUUUAAUAAAUAUUAUCAAUUUGUCAAAUAAAAUUAUUAAUAGUUUAAAAGAUUCUAGAAGAAUGAGUAUAAGAUAAUUUUUUAUAUAUAUACAGUAGUAAGAUUUAGUGUAUAAGAUUAUAUGAAGUUGUUUGUUGUUGAUUAUUCGUGUAUUGUAAAAUUUUUGGAUAAAAUAAUUUAUGAAAAGGAAUUCGGCAAAUAUUAAAGUCCCGCCUGUUAUAAAAACNNNNNNNNNNNUCGCCUGUUUAACAAAAACAUGGCUCCUUGUUUAAGAAAGAUAAGGAGUCUGGCCUGCCCAAUGACCAAAGUUGUUAAAUGGCCGCAGUAUAUUGACUGUGCGAAGGUAGCGUAAUAAUUUGCCUAUUGAUUGUGGGCUAGUAUGAAGGGCUUGACGAGGGCUGAGCUGUCUCUUUCAUAAUAUAUUUAGAAAUUAUUUUUUAGGUGAAAAAUCCUAAAUAUUGCUAAGGGACGAUAAGACCCUGUCGAGCUUUAGUAAAAUUUUAGAUACGGUUAUUUAAAUUUAAAAAUAGCCUUUUAUCACUAAAAUGAAUCUUUGGCUGGGGCGGCCAAGAAGUAGGGAAAACCUUUUGUGUAAUAUACUUACUUUUAGGUAUAAGAUCUGGUUUUGUUACAGAAUAGAAGAAAAAGUUACCGCAGGGAUAACAGCGUAAUUCUUUUGGAGAGUUCUUAUUGAGAAAAGAGUUUGCGACCUCGAUGUUGGACUAAGAUAUCCUGAAGGUGUAGCAGUUUUCAAGGGUUGGUCUGUUCGACCAUUAAAAUCUUACAUGAUCUGAGUUAAGACCGGCGUAAGCCAGGUCGGUUUCUAUCUUUAGUAUAGUUGGAAAUUUUUUCUUGGUUAGUACGAAAGGAUU
rnacentral:rRNA from 1 species